GUGGGGAAUAUUGGACAAUGGGCGAAAGCCUGAUCCAGCCAUGCCGCGUGCAGGAUGAAGGCCUUCGGGUUGUAAACUGCUUUUGUACGGAACGAAAAGACUCCUUCUAAUAAAGGGGGUCCAUGACGGUACCGUAAGAAUAAGCACCGGCUAACUACGUGCCAGCAGCCGCGGUAAUACGUAGGGUGCAAGCGUUAAUCGGAAUUACUGGGCGUAAAGCGUGCGCAGGCGGUUAUAUAAGACAGAUGUGAAAUCCCCGGGCUCACCUGGGAACUGCAUUUGUGACUGUAUAGCUAGAGUACGGUAGAGGGGGAUGGAAUUCCGCGUGUAGCAGUGAAAUGCGUAGAUAUGCGGAGGAACACCGAUGGCGAAGGCAAUCCCCUGGACCUGUACUGACGCUCAUGCACGAAAGCGUGGGGAGCAAACAGGAUUAGAAACCCGGGUAGUCC
rnacentral:rRNA from 1 species